rnacentral:rRNA from 1 species
AGUCUGAUGGAGCAACGCCGCGUGAGCGAAGAAGGUUUUCGGAUCGUAAAGCUCUGUUGCCGGAGAAGAACGGGCGGGAGAGGGAAUGCUCCCGUCGUGACGGUAUCCGGCGAGCAAGUCACGGCUAACUACGUGCCAGCAGCCGCGGUAAUACGUAGGUGGCGAGCGUUGUCCGGAAUUAUUGGGCGUAAAGGGCACGCAGGCGGCUGUUUAAGUCCGGUGUGAAAGGUUGCGGCUUAACCGCAAACGGGCACCGGAAACUGAAGAGCUUGAGGGCAGAAGAGGGGAGCAGAAUUCCACGUGUAGCGGUGAAAUGCGUAGAGAUGUGGAAGAAUACCGGUGGCGAAAGCGGCUCUCUGGUCUGCACCUGACGCUGAGGUGCGAAAGCGUGGGGAGCGAACAGGAUUAGAUACCCUGGUAGUCCACGCCGUAAACGAUGAAUGCUAGGUGUUAGGGGGGUCCAACCCCUUAGUGCUGAAGGCAACCCAUUAAGCAUUCCGCCUGG